GAGUUUGAACCUGGCUCAGGAUGAACGCUGGCGGCGUGCCUAAUACAUGCAAGUCGAGCGAACAGAUAAGGAGCUUGCUCCUUUGAAGUUAGCGGCGGACGGGUGAGUAACACGUGGGUAACCUACCUAUAAGACUGGGAUAACUUCGGGAAACCGGAGCUAAUACCGGAUAACAUUUAGAACCGCAUGGUUCUAAAGUGAAAGAUGGUUUUGCUAUCACUUAUAGAUGGACCCGCGCCGUAUUAGCUAGUUGGUAAGGUAACGGCUUACCAAGGCGACGAUACGUAGCCGACCUGAGAGGGUGAUCGGCCACACUGGAACUGAGACACGGUCCAGACUCCUACGGGAGGCAGCAGUAGGGAAUCUUCCGCAAUGGGCGAAAGCCUGACGGAGCAACGCCGCGUGAGUGAUGAAGGGUUUCGGCUCGUAAAACUCUGUUAUUAGGGAAGAACAAAUGUGUAAGUAACUGUGCACAUCUUGACGGUACCUAAUCAGAAAGCCACGGCUAACUACGUGCCAGCAGCCGCGGUAAUACGUAGGUGGCAAGCGUUAUCCGGAAUUAUUGGGCGUAAAGCGCGCGUAGGCGGUUUCUUAAGUCUGAUGUGAAAGCCCACGGCUCAACCGUGGAGGGUCAUUGGAAACUGGGAAACUUGAGUGCAGAAGGGGAAAGUGGAAUUCCAUGUGUAGCGGUGAAAUGCGCAGAGAUGUGGAGGAACACCAGUGGCGAAGGCGACUUUC
rnacentral:rRNA from 1 species